AUAAAUUUACUUUAAAGAUUUUUGAUCAAAUCAAGAUGAAUAAAAUCUAGAAACUAUUUUAUGAUUUAAUCCAAGCCACAAAUUAAGUAUCCAAUCAUUGGAGGUCAUAUUCAAUUAGGUUCAAAUCAAGUGUAAGAAUUGGCCAAUACUUAUCAUAUAAGCAAACCAACUACAAAAGAAAUUGGAUUCAUUCAGGUGCUAGCA
rnacentral:lncRNA from 1 species